rnacentral:lncRNA from 1 species
AAACAAAAACCAAAGAAGAACAAAGGAAGAAAAGAAAGAACAAGAACCCUAGGUGGAAAAAUUCAAAGAAAAAGUGUGAAAAAUCAAGAAAAACAAGUGAAAAAGGUAGGAUUUCUCAAUUUAAACUUGAAAUCUAUUUUCCUUAAGCAUUUCUCCUUAUUUUCCAUGGUUAAAUUUCAUGUUUUCAUGGUGAAUUCAUGGCUAACCGAAUGGGUAUGGAGAGAAAAUGAUGUUGGAAUGAUUUGAUUUCAAGUUAUGUUAGUGUUUUUGGUUAGUUUACCAUGUCUAGAAGCAAAACAACAAGAAAAGAAUUCAUUUUCCCCAUCACCCAUCAAUCGUCGAACCUACCUUGCAUUGAGUGAGGAUGAAUUUGAUUUUUAUUUUAGGAGAAUUGGUUAGAAAAUGAUGAAUUAUGGUGUGGAAAGUAGUAGGAAAAAUCACGGUGUUAAUGCACCAUUAUUGACCAAAAAUUCUAUGAAGAAAAGUGAAAAUGGUUUGGUCAAAUAGUAGGUUAUUUGACUUAUGUUUGGUGAAUUAAGGUAUUGGAAAAGAAAUGGAGCAAUUUGGAGCUAAAUUGGAUGCAUUGGCCAAUUAAUCGGGUGAUAAAACGAAUUAGGCCAAUACCAGGUUUAGAUUGUUACCCGUGCAUUUUGCAUUCCAUAUCAUGCAUUAGUAGUCUAAAUUUGUUUAAUUUCGAUUUAGUACCAAUGUAGUAAGUUUCUAGAUUUUGCAUCAUGUCCAGGUGGUGAAUCCUCCGCUAAGGGCAAAGAAAUUGUACCCGAGGAUCGGUAGUUAGAGUACUCUAGAAAUUCGACUCCCGAAAUAGUGAGUAACCUUAUCAUCAUUUUAAUUAUCUAAAGUGGUCUUUUUAUCCAAUUUUGUGAAUUUUAUGGAAAAUGAGUUUAAAUGGUUAAUUUUUAGGUUUUAUAAACAAAAUGUGUUUAAAUGAAAAGAUUUUAUAAAUUGUCUUGAAAUUGAAUUAUGGCUUUGAAAAUAGAGUAACUGGAGACCACUUGAUGUGUUGUAAUUUAUGGUUCUAAUUGAUGGCUUAUGAUAAUGUGUUGGCAUGAUUGGCUGGAAUUGUGGUUUGUGAACUGUAUGAAUUGUUCUGUUUUACAUUUACAGGCUGGGUAGUAUAAUAUUAGUCAUGUCAUGUUGUCAAAAUUUUAUUGUAUGGUGGGUUUAGCUUGCUGUAGUGGGCGGGUUCUGUGGACCAGCCUAUUAGAGGGGCACGGAAUCCGGUUAUAUAUGUACCUCGGUCAGAGAGCCUCGUAGGGUAUCUCCUGAGGUAUGGUUAGAGUUCAUGUCACGUCGAACCACCUCGUGCUAAUGUACUCCGCUAACGCCAAGGAACGACUGUGUUUUUCAAACUAAAAAAUAUGUUUAUGUGUGUAUAAAAUUUUUAACAGCCUUGACGGACUCGGUUAAAUACCUCGACCAAGGUAUUCCCAAGAAUGAUUUUAACAGGAGCCAACCUUUUAAGAUACUCAUAAGCCAUGUUGACUAUUUAAAUGAAAUGAAUGUUUAUGUUAUGAAAUACAUAUUUAGAUGGAAUAUUUUAAUCGUCUUCUUUUACUCGACUUUAGAUAUUUUGAAUGAUGUUUGUUUACUUGCUGGGAUUUUAUAAUCUCACCACCCUCAUUUCCACCCAUUUCAAGCUUAGUAUAAGCUAUAGAUAGCUGAUAUCGUCGAAGGCUACAGUUGGCUUUACUUCCUCAAAAACUGUAGGUUUGCAACCUUCGUUUAUUUUUGUUAUUUAAGGGUCCACAUGUCACUGUAAAUUAAAUUACAUACUUUAGUUAUUUGUACUACUGUAUGUAAGAAUUUAUUUUGCUUUUACGCUGUAAAAAUUAUUUACGCAGUGUUCUAAAAAUAUUAUUUAUAAGAAAAUAGAAUAUUUUGUUUAAUAUUUUUAUUUUAUUCUAGCAGUCAUAAUUUCACUUUAAAUGAAUGUUUAGACAUCUAAAUUUAUUUUUGAUUUUGAAAUAUGUGUUCUGCACUUAUAUACUACAUUAUUAGCUGGUAUCGAAAUUUUAAAGAAAAAUGAUCAAAAUACCCCUGUGAGACGAAAAUUAUUUUUUAUUGUUUUAAGUUGGGAAAUAGUUUAAAAUCUUUUAGAACGUGAUAUUUGGCAAUGAUUACUCACAGGGGAAAAUGAGAAAUUGAUAUUAAAGUCUUGCGGGGUUCUGGUUGGCAUUUCGGGUAAUGAGUGUCUAUCGGGACACCGCGACAGUUGUCACGGGCUCGAGGGGAGUACUGGGUCGUGACAAGUUACAGUCCCAGCAACUUGGCAUACCAAGCGAUGCGAAGUCCUUCCCACUAAUUAAAAUCCUUGUAAAGUGAUCCACUAUCCACGUACCAAACUCCUCUUAAAUGUUGGAAACAUGGAACAUGCAUGCUCA